AAUGAGAAAAAUAUAAUUUGCAUAAUAAUUUGGAACAGGGUGUAAUAUAUUUGUAGAUGCUGUCAAAGAGAUUUUCAACAUUGCACCAAAGCUAUCCCCAUGCUGAAAAGCCACACAAAAAAAAAGAUUUGACUUGUACAUAGUCAACAGUAUGGUAUUUUCAAAGAAAAGAAAAUUAAAGAUUGUGAAACCUUGGGGACCUUUGUAAUGUUCCUAAUUGGAAAAACAGCCUACAGAAAUGUGACAUGGAAAUCUAAAAAUCUUACGCUCUGUAUGUGAAGCAGGGUAUUUGAGGAAAUAUAUUGAAACAAUAUUUCAGAAC